rnacentral:lncRNA from 1 species
UGGGCAUAGAGACAGCAGCAAUUCCACCUUCCUGAAGCCACUGUGGAUAAUCCACUGGCAGGAUUUUGACCUGUGCACACAUGACGAAUUUCACCCCACUCUCUAUAGCAACGAGAUCAAAAGUAUGAGGAUGCCAGUAGAGAAAAAAAAAAUGUUCCUUUCAAAAUGUUUGAUGUAGCUGAUCAAAGAUCAGAAAGGAAACAUUGGAUUGAAUGUUUUGCUUCCACAGUGAGACAUCAAUACUUUUCCUUGUCUCUGCUAGUGAAUGUGACCAGAUGCUUACAGAAGACUGACUGACUGAAUCACUUUACAGAAUCUCUGAACAUUUUUAAAACAAUUUUCAAUGACCGGGUUUUCAGCAAUGUCUCCAUAAUUCCCUUCCUGAACAAGACAAUCUUGCUUGAGAGGAAUGUGCAAGUGUUGAUCAAUAAAGACUAUUUCUUGGAAUUUGGAAAGAAUCCACACUGCUCUUAAGACAUCCAAAAAUUUCUGGUAGGUUAUUUCUGUAAUAAAUGCCAGGACCUAGAGGAGUAGGCCUUAUACCACCAAUUCACAAGUGCUAUCAACAUGAAAACACCCCCAUUAAUU